UUUUUUUUUUUUUAAAAUAAUAGUUUAUUAAUUUUUUAUUGAUUGAAUAUAUAUACAUCCACGUGCAUACAAGAACUUUUCUAUGAAUAGUACAUCCCACCUGAUUAUAAAAGAUGAUGCAUAUGCAAUUGGUGCAUCUAAUAACCUCCCACAAGGAAAAAUAUGCAUCUAAUAAUCUCCCACAGGUAAAGAUAUUCAUUAAAUCCGAAGCCACCCAUGAGGCUCAGAAGUUAGUACGUCUCGGCGACCCUUGAAGUAAACAACCAUCUUAUCCCUGGGAGGCAAAUUGUCCUUGAUCAAAGGAUGGUUGAUAAAUCUGUGCAUCCAUGAAGAAAUUGCUGGAAAUUGCUGGCUCUCGAGGAUCUUCAUAGAUCCAACUUCUUCCCAUACAGGCAACCAGUAAGAGAUCCAUCCUACAGCAAUGUCCACAUAUCCAAUUCUUUCUCCUCCAAAAAAUUGCUUCCCUUUUAGUUUUAGCUCUUCCUCUGUCUUUUGCAGGGCUUCAAUGGUCAAUUUUAUUGCUCUUUCUUUUUCAUCUCCAAAGGAGCACAGGGCAUUCCAUGCAGCUUCCGUAAUCUUCUCUUCUGCAAAUUUAGCCCAGAAGCGGGCCUGGGCUCUUUCAUGAGGAUCUUGAGGCAGUAACGUAUACUUGUCCUUCCAUGUCUCGUCGAUAUACUCGAGGAUAAUGAAGGACUCAGCGAUUAUUUUCUUGUUGUGAAUAAGUACAGGGACCUUCUUAUGGACGGGAUUUAGCUGAAUAAGCGAAGAGCUCUUGUUAAAGAUGUCUUCUUCUAUGUACUCGUAAUCAACGCCUUUCAGUUUCAGAGCCCACUCUACUCUGCGCACAAAUGGGCUAACCCAGAAACCUAAAACCUUCACCACCUCCUCCUUUGCCAUGAGAGAUUCUGCUAUUUUUCUU
rnacentral:misc_RNA from 1 species